CGCCGAUGAUGAUGAUGAUGAUGAUGUUGAUGAUAAGGAAGAUAAUUCAUCAUUAUCUUCAACAUCAUCAUCAUCUAUUUAU
rnacentral:pre_miRNA from 1 species